GGAGCUGUUGUUGAUCGGUCGGCUGUCGGAGUCCUCGAUCCCACCAGCCCCGGCAUUCCCUGCCCAAUCGGGCGUCUCCGAAGCGGACUGCUCGUUCUUGGGUGUUCUGCGCGUGCGGCGCCUGGAUCGCACCCAGGAGGUCGCGAGUUCGAGCCUCGCGAGCUCCA
rnacentral:tRNA from 1 species